UGGCUCAGGAUGAACGCUGGCGGCGUGCUUAACACAUGCAAGUCGAACGAGCCUUCGGGCUAGUGGCGGACGGGUGAGUAACGCGUGAGAAUCUGCCCUCAGGAGGGGGAUAACGGCUGGAAACGGCCGCUAAUACCCCAUAUGCCGCGAGGUGAAAUGAGAAAUCGCCUGAGGAUGAGCUCGCGUCUGAUUAGCUAGUUGGUGGGGUAAGAGCCUACCAAGGCAUCGAUCAGUAGCUGGUCUGAGAGGAUGAUCAGCCACACUGGGACUGAGACACGGCCCAGACUCCUACGGGAGGCAGCAGUGGGGAAUUUUCCGCAAUGGGCGCAAGCCUGACGGAGCAACGCCGCGUGAGGGAUGAAGGCCUCUGGGCUGUAAACCUCUUUUCUCAAGGAAGAAGAACUGACGGUACUUGAGGAAUAAGCCACGGCUAAUUCCGUGCCAGCAGCCGCGGUAAUACGGGAGUGGCAAGCGUUAUCCGGAAUUAUUGGGCGUAAAGCGUCCGCAGGCGGUCUUGAAAGUCUGUUGUUAAAGCGUGGAGCUCAACUCCAUUUCAGCAAUGGAAACUAGAAGACUAGAGUGUGGUAGGGGCAGAGGGAAUUCCCGGUGUAGCGGUGAAAUGCGUAGAUAUCGGGAAGAACACCAGUGGCGAAGGCGCUCUGCUGGGCCAUAACUGACGCUCAUGGACGAAAGCCAGGGGAGCGAAAGGGAUUAGAUACCCCUGUAGUCCUGGCCGUAAACGAUGAACACUAGGUGUCGGGGGAAUCGACCCCCUCGGUGUCGUAGCCAACGCGUUAAGUGUUCCGCCUGGGGAGUACGCACGCAAGUGUGAAACUCAAAGGAAUUGACGGGGGCCCGCACAAGCGGUGGAGUAUGUGGUUUAAUUCGAUGCAACGCGAAGAACCUUACCAGGGUUUGACAUCCUGCGAAUCUUUUGGAAACAGAAGAGUGCCUUCGGGAGCGCAGAGACAGGUGGUGCAUGGCUGUCGUCAGCUCGUGUCGUGAGAUGUUGGGUUAAGUCCCGCAACGAGCGCAACCCACGUCUUUAGUUGCCAGCAUUGAGUUGGGCACUCUAGAGAGACCGCCGGUGAUAAACCGGAGGAAGGUGUGGAUGACGUCAAGUCAUCAUGCCCCUUACAUCCUGGGCUACACACGUACUACAAUGCUACGGACAGAGGGCAGCAAACUCGCGAGAGCUAGCAAAUCCCAUAAACCGUGGCUCAGUUCAGAUCGUAGGCUGCAACUCGCCUACGUGAAGGAGGAAUCGCUAGUAAUCGCAGGUCAGCAUACUGCGGUGAAUACGUUCCCGGGCCUUGUACACACCGCCCGUCACACCAUGGAAGUUGGCCAUGCCCGAAGUCGUUACUCCAACC
rnacentral:rRNA from 1 species